rnacentral:rRNA from 1 species
GACGAACGCUGGCGGCGUGCUUAACACAUGCAAGUCGAACGGAAAGGCCCUGCUUUUGUGGGGUGCUCGAGUGGCGAACGGGUGAGUAACACGUGAGUAACCUGCCCUUGACUUUGGGAUAACUUCAGGAAACUGGGGCUAAUACCGGAUAGGAGCUCCUGCUGCAUGGUGGGGGUUGGAAAGUUUCGGCGGUUGGGGAUGGACUCGCGGCUUAUCAGCUUGUUGGUGGGGUAGUGGCUUACCAAGGCUUUGACGGGUAGCCGGCCUGAGAGGGUGACCGGCCAACUUGGGACUGGGAUACGGCCCAGACCCCACCGGGGGGCAGCGGGGGGGAAUUUUGCACAAGGGGGGGAAGCCUGAUGCAGCAACGCCGGGUGGGGGAGGACGGCCUUGGGGUUGUAAACCGUUUUCGCCUGUGACGAAGCGGGGGUGACGGUAAUGGGGAAAGAAGCACCGGCUAACUACGU